AUUGAACGCUGGCGGCAGGCCUAACACAUGCAAGUCGAACGAGUGGCGGACGGGUGAGUAAUGUAUGGGAAACUGCCUGAUGGUGGGGGAUAACUACUGGAACAGGUAGUUAAUACCGCAUAACAUCAGAUGUGCCCAGAUGGGAUUAGCUAGUUGGUGGGGUAACGGCCCACCAAGGCUACGAGCCCUACCUGGUCUGAGAGGCUGACCCGCCACACUGGAACUGAGACACGGUCCAGACUCCUACGGGAGUCAGCAGUGGGGAAUAUGGCACAAUGGGCGCAAGCCUGAUGCAGCCAUCCCGCGUGUAUGAAGAAGGCCUUCGGGUUGUAAAGUACUUUCAGCGGGGAGGCGUUACCCGCAGAAGAAGCACCGGCUAACUCCGUGCCAGCAGCCGCGGUAAUUC
rnacentral:rRNA from 1 species